AAGAAGCUGAUGCAGAUAAAAUAACUUACCCAUAAUUUUCAGAGACAAAAAGAGGAGGGGUGAGCCAAGAUAAUAUUAUUUAUUACAAAGUAUGGGUGUCUUUCCUGCUGCUAUCCACCCAUUAUCACCCGCAGAGACAACAAACAACUAGAGAUAUGGGUCUUCUUUAACAUCCAUGGCUUGCAUUGCCAUUUCUGCCUCGCUGCAAAGCGCUUGCAGCUCACAUCGUAUCACCAAGAAACCACAGCCUCAAACCAGACCUGCACGCUCUUUGGGGUCAAAACAGGUGACCCACGUGUCUUCUGCGCUCAAUGUUGAAGACCAAAAGAAGGGUUUAAGAGUAG
rnacentral:misc_RNA from 1 species